AGUGAACGCUGGCGGUAGGCCUAACACAUGCAAGUCGAACGGCAGCACAGUAAGAGCUUGCUCUUACGGGUGGCGAGUGGCGGACGGGUGCGGAAUACAUCGGAAUCUACCUUUUCGUGGGGGAUAACGUAGGGAAACUUACGCUAAUACCGCAUACGACCUACGGGUGAAAGCAGGGGAUCUUCGGACCUUGCGCGAUUGAAUGAGCCGAUGUCGGAUUAGCUAGUUGGCGGGGUAAAGGCCCACCAAGGCGACGAUCCGUAGCUGGUCUGAGAGGAUGAUCAGCCACACUGGAACUGAGACACGGUCCAGACUCCUACGGGAGGCAGCAGUGGGGAAUAUUGGACAAUGGGCGCAAGCCUGAUCCAGCCAUACCGCGUGUGUGAAGAAGGCCUUCGGGUUGUAAAGCCCUUUUGUUGGGAAAGAAAAGCAGCAGGUUAAUACCCCGCUGUUCUGACGGUACCCAAAGAAUAAGCACCGGCUAACUUCGUG
rnacentral:rRNA from 1 species